AUGUUGCUAAGAAACCUCCCAUACAACUCCAUAAUCUGAAGCAAAGGAGGGAAUUAAGAAUCCUGCAAAAUUGGUUCGCAAGUUUAGGAGAAACCAAUGGCUGUUUGGAAGAGAAGAAGAGUGUGGUGUGGUGUAGCAUAGCGGAAAGAAAGAUGCCUAUCUUGCAAUGGCAGUUUUGGUUUUACUUUAGAAAACUUGACCAGCAACCCAAGGCUGCCAUUUUCCAGCACCCACUCUCAUUGCUUACGCCUUCUCUGCACACCCACCUACCCUUUCUCAGGCACCAACCCAUAUUAAGUUACCUAUUUCUAAGCCUCUGCCUUUCCACUUUUUCUUCGUCUCUUACUCCUGGCUUGGAUCUUAGAGAUUUUGUCAGUUUGUAAUAAGUGUUGAUAACAUAACAACAGAGGCAAGAUUCUUGAGAAAGUGAUUUUUUAGGACAUAUAUGGAUUAGGGAACAACAAUAGGGCCACACAACGCACGAGCGUAGGCCCCCAACACAAAGGCAAAGGCCAUUUCAAUUCUUGCCGACAACCAUGUGCCUUCCUUUCUACAUCCCUUCUUCUAACUCUCACCUCCCAUAUGCCUUUCCAUCUCACACUCUCUUUAUAAUCAUAUGUU